rnacentral:misc_RNA from 1 species
AACGCACAUUGCGCCCCUUGGUAUUCCGAGGGGCAUGCCUUUUCAAGCGUCAUUACGACCAUCAAGCCCCGCUUGGUAUUGGGCCUGCGUCCCCUCGCGGACGGGCCUUAAAGCAAUCGGCGGCCUGGUGACCGGCUUCGAGCGUAGUAGAAAUCUUUUCUCGCUCUGAAGUCCGGCCUACGCCCGCCACGCAACCUUUUUAGAACCUCAAGGUUGACCUCGGAUAAGGUAGGGAUACCCGCUGAACUUAA